GCGGGGACAAUCAGGAAGGUCGAAAGGAACACAGCCAGGAAUCAGGAAGUAUGCACCCAAAGGCUGCUAAGUAACCAAGGGAGGUGUUACGAAGCCCACACACUAAAGCUGGAUGGAAGCAGUCUGUGGCAGGGAUUAUGCCUAUUUUGUUUACCACUAUAUCUCAAGCACCUGGAACAAGGUUACUGGGGUUUAAAAUGGCCUUCAGGAAGACUCUAUUAUUUUUCCACUUUGGCCCCUCCCUCUGCCAAAAGCACCUUGUGAAAAGUGAGUUCCUCAAAUAAGAAGAUCUACAUUGUGUGUAAUCUUAGUGGGGCUGCCAUUCCUGGUGACUACAUUCCAUUACCAAAGCCGAAGGAAACAGAUCCUUGCCCUCCUUGACUCUGCAGGACCAGGGGCCAGUGACCCUCAGCUUUUGAAGGAUUUUCGUCUCCACUGUCUUUUUCAUUUUUUCCCAAACUCCAAGUACCCAAGCCACAAGAAAAUAAAAUUCCAAAGAAGAUGAGGCCGAGGCAGGGGGAUCAGGAGUUCGAGACCAGCCUGGCCAACAUGGUGAAACCCCGUUUCUACUAAAAAUACAAAAAUUAGCUGGGCGUGGUGACUCAUGCCUAUAAUCUCAGCUACUCAGGAGGCUGAGGCAUGAGAAUUGCUUGAACCCAGGAGGUGGAGGUCGCAGUGAGCCAAGAUCGCGCCACUGCACUCCAGCCUGGGCAACAGAGUGAGACUCCAUCUCAAAAAAUAAAAUAAAAUUCCAAACAAGAAACAAAUGCUUUGUUAUACUAUGCAACCCUAUUGUUUAUGCAGUUCUCUUUAGGCUUUUAGAAAUAUAAUACAUACCUAGUGUACAAAUAGUUAUCAGACAUUUUAUCAUUCAAAAGCAGCCCCAAAGGAAUAUGACAAUUUUAAUUGAUCUUUGAUGCUGGUAUGUGGUGGGUUACUUGGCCAGUGAGUGACCCUGGCUGAUAUCAAAUAUGAUAUACUUCAACAAUUUGAUUUCCAAUACUUAUUGAGCACUAAGAAUGUAUCAGGCAUUAUUCUAAAAGUUUUAGGUAAGUUUAUUCCUUAUAACAAACUUCAAAGAUAUAUACUGUGGUCAAUUCAUUUUACAGAUGAAGAAACUAUGACACAGAGAGGCGAAGUAACUUGAUAAGAUCAAAACAGUAAGUAAAUGGUAUAGCCAAAUUUUGAACACAAGCUACCUGACUCUAGAGGCCAUAACCUUAUCCACUACACUAUAAUGCAAUUUUGUGGUUCUCUGUGCAUCACUGAAGAAAAAACAGAUGCUCACAUAAUUUUUUCUUAUUUUGUUUCUUUGGAAAAAUAAAGCCAAUUGGCUAAUGCUAUUGAGAUCUAAGAAAACUUCUGUUCUUGCUUAGAAAUGUUAGUUCUUUUAUCCAUUAAACACACACAAAAAAAGCUGAAUUUAGUGAUGUCUCAUAUUAUCUCAUACAUAUCUGUCCACCACAGGCUCUAAAUGGAAAAGGAGAAAUAGCAGGUCAUGAAACUGUUUUAAUGAAUGUUUAAGUCAGAAAAUGUAUAUAAAUGACUUUUAUUCCAUAUUUAAACUUAAAUUUUUAUAUAGGUUUUAAGUGUUAUCUCUUUUCCACAAAUUAUUUAUUACAAAAAGCUCAAGUUGUGUUUAACAAAAUGGACUUAUAACAAAUGUCUUUUAAAAGAUUCUAAAUUUGUUAAUUCUUAAGCUACAACCAUAAGGACUUCCUGUGUCAGCUUCAUUUGUGAUUUCCAGAUCCUUAGUUAACUUUAAGGAUAUGAAUAUUCUUUUGUAAGUAACCUUGGAAAACUGGACAAUUUUAUGACAUAUGUGCUUUAAUAACUGGUGUAGCUGUUAGCUACCAGGUUAAAAAGGAUGUAUAGAUGGCUUUAUGUUGAUGUGAAUACUUGUUUUGAAGAUAUUUUUUAAAUGUGGAUAGGUAAUGGGAUGUGUAUGCAAGGUAAUGAAUUUUAUUUAUCUAAGUAAAAAAGAAUUAUUUUACCUUAAGGAGAGUCUGGUUAUGCUAGCCUAGAAGAGUAUUUUUUUAUUAUUAUACUUUAAGUUUUAGGGUACAUGUGCACAACGUGCAGGUUUGUUACAUAUGUAUACCUGUGCCAUGUUGGUGUGCUGCACCUAGUAACUCAUCAUUUAGCAUUAGGUAUAUAUCCUAAUGCUAUCCCUCCCCACUCCCCCAACCCCACAACAGGCCCCAGUGUGUGAUGUUCCCCUUCCUGUGUCCAUGUGUUCUCAUUUUUCAAUUCCCACCUAUGAGUGAGAAUAUGCGGUGUUUGGUUUUUUGUCCUUGUGAUAGUUUGCUGAGAAUGCUGGUUUCCAGCUUCAUC
rnacentral:lncRNA from 1 species